CUCCUACUGCACGAGCUCUCGGGCAAUGAAAAUCCCGCGUCCACCUGGUUGCGCGCGUUCUGGGAAGAGGUUCGUUGCCCUGUGGUUUCUCCUUCUGCUUCUGUUUUGUUUCUGAGCCACGGUGGCCGGCUUUGGAAGUAGUGGGGCCGGACCUGUUUCAAAGGAGCCAAGGGAAGUAUCCUGUUGGAUUUCAACGGACACUAAAGGGGCCUUGAAGGAAACAGUCCAGGAAAGGCAGAUCAACAGGGAAGUUGAGGCUUUGACCGCGGAUGCAGUCAUCUGAUGCAGUGGCUUUGUCCCCCCCAGGGGACAUUUGUGACCGUCACCAAAGGCAGUGCACGUACAGUUAAAUGUUUUUCCCACAGAAUUGCAUCGCGCUGUACCACACAGAUUUUUGGAAACCUAAGACGCGGUAUUGAACUAAUUCUACAUCUAAUUCCAAUUGUAAUAAAGUUAAUACAUGCAGACG